CUCAUAUAUAAACAAGGGCAAGAAGGAAGUGGGCCCCUUCUCUCUUCCUCCAGAGUCACCAUGUGAUCCCGGGAUGAGGAUGCCAAUGGCAGGCUUCCUAAAUAAGAUAAGUCUUAUAAAAUAUAUAGAUUUAUGAUAAUUAAGACUGAGCUAACAAAUGAGAAAUCCUAGUCGUUGGCCAAGCAGCAUUUGUACCUAAUAGAAGUCUCUGUGUAUUAUUUGGGGCCCUAACUCAGCGGGCAGAACUCGGGCGGCUGGCGGGAAGUGCCCACGUGGCGGUAGGGCUCAGGUGGCUUUUGGAGGAAAGAUUUAUCAUAACAGAGUAGGGGAAGUAGAGGGAGAUGGAGUAGGGGAAGUAGAGGCAAGUGGGUGUGAUUAACAUACAUAAAUAUAUGGACCUUUUAAAGAACAAAAGGUGCAAUUUUUAAAAGCCUCAUUGUCUUUUCACCUAGUAUAAAUAAUACUGUUGUUAAUAAUAAUGCAGAGAAGGUAUUUCUGAUAUUAAGGGAUAAAAUAACCUAAAAGAUAAUUGGUAACAAAGACCAGCAGACAUAAGGAGCCGCAGAUCUGAAUUAGUACUGUUAGCUCGAAUCUGAAUGAAAUCAUGAAUUUUCCGUGAAAGUCAGUUUUUCUUUUUAGUAAUUGGACUCCAUGAAACUCUGAAUCUCUAGGGUUUUGUAUUUUUAUUAUUAGCUGUAUUCAUAGGAAAUGUACUCAAUGAGACAAGAAUAGAGGAGAAUAGAGCAUUUGAAAUCUGUGAUGCAUCAGCACCUCAUUUGUUACCUUGCUGUCACCAUCACCGAAGGGAAGGAUGGGAGAAAGGUGGAAUUAAGCAGAUUUAGUUUGCACCUCUAAGAGCAAAGCCCACACUGUUAGCAUUCUUCACCCACUAAGGACAACUAGUAAAUACUAGGCACCCUCCCUUGCCUACCAGAUGCUCCAUCUCACAGGUGAAGACACAGAAAUGCAAACAAAUUAGGUACCACAAGAAAAGCAUGGUGGCAGCCUCCCUGGUGUCCAUGAACACUUAUGUGAAGCAAUCAGACUACUGUGGUCCCAGGAGAAAGAUGUUAGGUAAUGUCUCUGGGACACAUUUGCUCUACAAAGCUUUUAAAGUUCCCUCUUCUGGAAGCAUUCCAGAUGGAGACCCUUCUCCAUCUUCCAGCAAUGAUGCAUUGUAACCUAGUCCCAAAAUGACAGUGCCAAGGACUGGGGAAGAUGACUCAGUUAGUAAAGUGCCUAUUAUGUAAGCAUAAGGACCGGCGUUUGGAGUACCAACAUAAAAACCAGGUGUGGCAGCACCAGGGAGGUAGAAACAGGUGUGGAUCUAGGUUGCUCCUUGGCUAGCCAGCCAAAUACAUGAGUUCCAGGUUCAGUGAAAGACAGUCUGAAAAGAGAAUGUAGAGAAUGAUAGAAGUAAACAUCAAAUGUUAACCUCUGGCCUCCACACACAUGUACAAAACCACAUACAUUCAUGUAUGCCUACACACACACACACAUGAAAGAUGGAUGGAUAGAUAGAUGGAUGGAUAGAUAGAUAGAUAGAUAGAUAGAUAGAUAGAUAGAUAGAUAGAUAGAUAGAAUGUCAAGGCAAAAGAAGGGGCAAAGAGAAGAUUCAUGAUGGCUGGUCAUGGUCUUUUCACUAAGGGAUCCACUCUCCAACCCACAGCCAGCCCAACUCCUGGACUUUGUGUGCUGUGAGAUGCUUGGGAGAUAGUAGAUUUCCUAAGUCUACAGCAUCAUGAGUCAGAUUCUAGUUUCCCCUCAUCAAAAGCAUUCUGGGUUAUGCAACAAAAAGGCAGUAUCCAAACUCAAGUCUGUGUAAUUACCAAACACCUGGGCAUCCCCUGAGUCCUCUGAUGGGAGAGGAUAUCUCUACAGGGCAUACCGUUCUGCCUGGUUGCCAAGUAACAGUCUCAGUGGUCCUCAGCCACAGCAUGCAUACAUUCCUGGCUUUGCCUUUGAUUAGCUGUGAGAUCAUGGGUAAGUUUCUUCUCUUCUUUAUACCUCAUCUGAGAAAUGGGGCCAGUGAUAGCGCCUGCCACACAGGACUUCCAAGACAAGACACUUUGAGGCAGUAGAGAUACUUGGUGACUCAGAGUUCACAGACAAAAUAACACAGCAUAUGCUAUUUUUUCCUUGAUUUUUGCUCCUGUCAACUUUUGUCUUUUUUUGUGCCUUUGUUUAUUUGUUUUCCUUUGGAAGUAUUAGCAAUCACUUGCUAGGCAAGCACUCUACCAGUGAGCUCUCUCUCUUUCUCCCCACCCCCCUCUGUCCAGUUAAACAUUUUUAAUUAGUUAGCUGUCCUCGUUCAUUUCAAGAAAACAUUAGAGGAAGCAUUUAAAUGUUACUCAUAACGCCUCUGCUAUUUUCAGAAGUGUUUCCCAAAGGUCCAUCUGUCAAAGGCGUAGUUGUAGACUGUGCAGCUAUUGGGAAGUGAUGGAACCUUUAGGAGCUGGGACAUGGAGGGGUAUCACUAAAAGGAGUAUUAUUAGAACUGGCCUCUCCUACUGCAGCCACCAUGAGCCCCUCCCACAAGUACUGUGCUACCACAGGCCUGAAACAGACAAGCCAGGUGAUUAUGAAUUGAAACCACGGGCCCCAACAAACCUUUCCUCCUCUUAAGCCAAUUUUCCUCAGGCAUUUGUAAGUGGCAGAAAGCCAACUAACAUAAUCAUACUUCCUAUAAAACAUUUUUUCCUUCACACUACCACUAGCAUGCAAUAUCUAAACAAACAUGAUCAUUUUAAAUAUAAUUUAAAUUAACAUAAAUAAAAACAUGUUCUUUAUAUAAUUAUUUGUUUUAAUAGUUGUAUAAGACUAGAAUAUAAUUUACUAACUGUUGUCCUAGAAUUAUAAAAAAACCUAGGGUCUUACAACAUAGCCCAGGGUAACCUAGAACUUGAUAUAUAGACCAGGCUAUCCUCAAAGUCAUAGGUAUCCCUCUGUCUCUGCUUCUUGAGUGAAGUGAUGGGAUUAAUGAAAUGAACCACCACACAUCAGGCUAAGGCCUGAUAUUUUUAAUACCCAUGGGUAUCUUAUUUGUUUUUUCAUCUUAAAAAUGACAGACAUAGCCCUGAACAUUUUGCAUGUACCUCUUUGCUUUCUGUACAUUGUUUCCAUAAGAAAAAAAAAUUCCUUGAGGUGCAAUUACUGGAUGCUUUUAUCUCCUGCUAAGUAAUUCUUUCCAAAAGGAACACUCCAGUUUGUAACUGAAGAUGUUAUCUUAGCAGCACAAGGCUAAAUGGCAGUUUUUCCAAAUGUGUGGUUGGUUUGAAAUAUGUGAAACUUUGUACUUUGGAGAAGUCAGUGUUUCGAUUGCCUUGCCAUGGGUUUCAAGUUUUAUAACUCAAGUUCUUCUUUCUUCUCCCCAAAGCUCCCUCUUUAAAGGCAGUCACUUUUAUUCCUCAUGGGCCCGGGACUUUUAUAUGCCCUUCUGGUUUUAUCUCCCUUCUCUCUCCAUGAAAUAGAUUGGAUCUAUAUGUACCCCCCACUAAGAGUGCAUAGAUGGCUCAAGGAUGCUGUCUUAAAUGGAUGGUGAAGCCCAGCUUCACAUGCUCUUCGAGAGGCACACUGCAGUUUGGCUUAGACAAACUGGGUGAUGCCCACCCACCUUGAAGAGAGUCAUCUGCUCUGCUCUCCCCAUUGACUCAAAUGGUGAUCUCCUCCAGAAGUACCAUCAGAGACACAUCCAAAUAAUUUUGGUAUCUUUAGUGUCUCUCUGGGUAUUCUUCAUCCCAGUCAAAUUGACAAUAAAAUGAACCAUCAUACUAAGAGCGUGGAAACAUCAAAGAGAGCCGCAGUUGAGAGCAAUGGAACCUCAGAGUGGAUACAUUCAUUGACUGGGUCCCUCUUUAAUUUGCACCAGUCUCCAAAGAUUCAUCACAGAAAUCAUUGUGGAAACUAUACCACCAAGAGUUUAUCAUUUGAUUUUUUUUUAUAACUUUUCAACAUCACAUUUGGUUUAUACCUUUCAUUUGGUUGGUUUUUCUGUGUUUUAGAAGCAGGUUGAGUUAAAAUGGAAGAAUGAUGGCUGUGGCAAUGUAUAGUGAUUUCAAUGUACCCAGGAGUCAUGUUGGCAAGUGACAUGAAAAGUAGAUACCUUGCUCUACAAUUAAGCCCAGUACAAGCAAUUUCAUUUCCACAAAACAUCACCACACACAUGAAGUGGAUGUUGUCAGGUUCAAUGUUUUCUUGUUUGCAUUUAACUGGUAAAUAUUUUCCUGAUGGUGUAAUGGAUAUGAGUGUGUGGAAUGUACAGCUCUCUUCUGUGCUUGUAUAUAACACUGUAAUAAAAAAUAAUUUAAAGUCCAG
rnacentral:lncRNA from 1 species